UAUCACUUUGUCAUGGAAAUGCCAAUAAAUAAAAUGAAAGAGGUUGUUAGGUUGAUAGAUGGACAGCUUGAGAUUUUUAAUGCCUCCUCCCCUGUCUAAAAGGGGAAGAGAAGGAAUUUAGUGAUCCUUUCUAGGCUCAAGUAAAUACCAAGAAAACUUUGUUCACUAUUAAUAAUUGAUGUGUAGUUAUAUUUUCUGCUUUGCUGUGGAUAGAAAUAGGAGAAGAGUAGUUGAUAUGAACCUUUUGUUUUGCUUUCCAGGUCCAAGCUGUAUACAAUGCCAUGAGGAGAGAUGAUCGGAUGAAGUACUUUUUGUAGUAUGAAAUUUCUUUUUGUUAUGUAUAGAGUACUAAUCAUGUGGGGCCUUACAGUUGCCUCUUUCGCAAAAUUUUCUUUACCGUCUCCCUUCUUGUUCUUUGAUUAACCCAUCUGUUCCUGGUGAAGAAAUCAUGAUUCAAUAUGAUCUGUUCCAUACCUGCACAAGAUGUAUGUUAUAGUGAUUAUUUUAGUGGAAACUAGGAUGCAAAUUUAUUUAUUCGUUGUUGUGAUCGCAUGUUUAAUCAGCUAUAGAUGAUUGGUUAUGGAUAAGCACCACACUGGGCAGGUGAAAUGAAUUAAUUUAUUUGUUUGAACUUUUGUGGUGUUUUGAGUGCAUUGAAAGCGUGGAUUUUAUUAGCAU
rnacentral:misc_RNA from 1 species